rnacentral:lncRNA from 1 species
UGGAAAGCAAAACAAAAUUGACUGACCCGAACUAAGCGUCAGUCGAAUCAGCCCAAAAGAAAAAAAACAUCACUGAUCCAGCGCUGAAACCCCUUUUGAUGUUUUGCCAUCUAUACAACCCAAAAUUAAACGGGCCUGACCCUGCUAAGAAACCAAACCCACUACCUUCAGAGAUCUGGAUCCAGCUCACGGACAUAUAACUAGGUCUUCUUCCUUGUCCCUCCUUCCCCCAUCACCAGCGGCGCCACCAUGGACGCAUGAACAAAACUCAGAUACUGCCGCCCUCUGGUGUCUCGAUAGAUCUCCAUCCUCUCCAUUUCUUCCAUGCUACGUCCUUCUCCUCCGAUUGCCCAAAGUUCUUGUAGAGAGAACUAAACUUGUAGUAGUUGUUCAACAACAACAAAUAAUUAGAAAAGUUAUAUUCUGUCUCUUUACUGCCCAGCAAAAAAGAUGUAACUGGAACUAGAAAAAUAUAGUGACAACACCAGAAUACACAUUUGCUGUUAGAAAUUCAGACAAUUGAACAAUACAAAUUCAUACUAUAACUUAUGACUAAAAAAUAACAUGUUUGUACUUGUACUAAAAGAUGUUGAACUACAAGAAAGGCAGAACACCCACCUAAAGGCAGAAAUUGAAAGUUUAAUCAUAAGAAGUAAAAUUGCGCCUGUUUGUAAUACAGGUUGUUGAAUAAGUAGAGCAGAACACCACCCUAAAAUCAAAAUUUAAAACAUUUCUUCAUAUGAACUAAACUUGCAUAUACAUAAAUCUGAACUUGCAACUGUUGGUCAAGAGCAACAUAUAAAAAAAUAGUGCAAAUAGCAUGUCUACAAUAUUAGAAAAGUUAAUCGUAACAUCUACCCCCCUAGUUCAAUUACAAAAUGUUUGAAAACAGCUAAGGCAGAACACCUCGGUAAAUUUUACAAGUAGGGAGAACUAAACUUGUAGUAGUUGUUCAACAACAACACAUAAUUAGAAAAGUUAUAUUCUAUCUCUUUAGUGCCCAGCAAAAAAUGAUGUAACCAGAAAUAGAAAAAAAUAGUGAGACCACUUGAAUGUACAUUUGCUGUCAGAAAUUCAGAGAAUUGAACAAUACAAAUUCAUACUACACUAAAAAAUAACAUGUUUGUACUUGUACAAAAAAAAAUGUUGAACUACAAGAAAGGCAGAACACCCACCUAAAGGCAGAAAUUGAAAAUUUAAUCAUAAGAAGUAAAAUUGCGCCUGUUUGUAAUACAAGUUGUCGAACUACAAGUAGAGCAGAAAACCACCCUAAAAUCAGAGAUUAAAAAAUUUCUUCAUACGAACUAAACUUGCAUAUACGUAAAUCUAAACUUGCAAUUGUUGGUUAAGAGCAAC